UCAAGUGUGAUCGAAGUAUUUAUCACCGUGUGCUUUUGAGUCUAUUAUUCAAAUAAACGCCGCGUCAUGAUGCGGCAUUUAUUCGAAGGCGGUGUUUAUUUAUAUUUCUCCUCUAAAUUGCGGUGUUUAGUCGGGGCGGCGUUCAAUCGAGUAAUUACGGUAUGUAGCGAGAUAUGAAGUUUACCAGAUAUUCUGUUGGAGACUGGUAUCUAGUACAAUACAAGAUGGCGGCAAAUGUGGACAUUUUGGUUAAAGAUUUUUAGAACACAAAGAAAAGUUAUGGGAUGAUGGAUUCUGGCAAGCUUGAGGAGACGCGUAGAAACUUUGGACCGUGGAUAUCUUAGUUUGAGGGAAACGACCGUGAUAUAAAUUCUACCUAUGAGAGAUCUGAGGCAACUUCUCCUUCCAAUUACACUAGGAAUGCUCAAGUGUGACAAAAGUUCCCUGUUCCAGACAUGUCUUGUUGGUACAGAGUAGUAUUUUUUCGAUGUUGUGAAUUUUGUUGUCUUCUUUUGCCUUAUUUUCUUAUUCUAGGGAGUGUUUGUCCAGAAGAAACCACAACUUCUCAAGGAAAAUAAAAUAAAUAGUAACAGUUUGGAUAGGAAAUUGAAAUGUAAAUAAAAGUAGCUUUGAAAAAGA